rnacentral:lncRNA from 1 species
GUCAAGAUGCCGAGCAGGCUGAUCUGUCGAAGGACUCGGAUGGAUGGCUGAACAUAUCGAAAGGGUUCGGCCUUUGGUAUGUUCAGCCGAAGAUCACAAUGUACCUUCAAGGAAGACGUGCAGUGCUCAUCUGGCUCGGGUGGCGAUCGCUGCAACCUGGGUUGCUCUUGAGGUAAUGUCGAGGGAGGAGGCCAUGCUGAGACACUCACAUUGAUGCCAGAUCAAAUCUAAAAUAGCACAAAGACAAAGAAGUCCUUAGUGGAGAGUGUCCGGUGGAAGAUCCUUUGAUGCCCAUGUCAGACAAACUCUCAAGAAAUAGC